UGCAGUCGAGCGAUGGAUUAAGAGCUUGCUCUUAUGAAGUUAGCGGCGGACGGGUGAGUAACACGUGGGUAACCUGCCCAUAAAACUGGGAUAACUCCGGGAAACCGGGGCUAAUACCGGAUAACAUUUUGAACCGCAUGGUUCGAAAUUGAAAGGCGGCUUCGGCUGUCACUUAUGGAUGGACCCGCGUCGCAUUAGCUAGUUGGUGAGGUAACGGCUCACCAAGGCAACGAUGCGUAGCCGACCUGAGAGGGUGAUCGGCCACACUGGGACUGAGACACGGCCCAGACUCCUACGGGAGGCAGCAGUAGGGAAUCUUCCGCAAUGGACGAAAGUCUGACGGAGCAACGCCGCGUGAGUGAUGAAGGCUUUCGGGUCGUAAAACUCUGUUGUUAGGGAAGAACAAGUGCUAGUUGAAUAAGCUGGCACCUUGACGGUACCUAACCAGAAAGCCACGGCUAACUACGUGCCAGCAGCCGCGGUAAUACGUAGGUGGCAAGCGUUAUCCGGAAUUAUUGGGCGUAAAGCGCGCGCAGGUGGUUUCUUAAGUCUGAUGUGAAAGCCCACGGCUCAACCGUGGAGGGUCAUUGGAAACUGGGAGACUUGAGUGCAGAAGAGGAAAGUGGAAUUCCAUGUGUAGCGGUGAAAUGCGUAGAGAUAUGGAGGAACACCAGUGGCGAAGGCGACUUUCUGGUCUGUAACUGACACUGAGGCGCGAAAGCGUGGGGAGCAAACAGGAUUA
rnacentral:rRNA from 1 species